UGAAGGUCCCCCACAUUGGAACUGAGGCACGGUCCAAACUCCUACGGGAGGCAGCAGUGAGGAAUAUUGGUCAAUGGGCGCGAGCCUGAACCAGCCAAGUAGCGUGAAGGAUGACUGCCCUAUGGGUUGUAAACUUCUUUUAUAAAGGAAUAAAGUGGUCCACGUGUGGAUUUUUGUAUGUACUUUAUGAAUAAGGAUCGGCUAACUCCGUGCCAGCAGCCGCGGUAAUACGGAGGAUCCAAGCGUUAUCCGGAUUUAUUGGGUUUAAAGGGAGCGUAGAUGGAUGUUUAAGUCAGUUGUGAAAGUUCGGGGCUCAACCCCGGAAUUGCAGUUGAUACUGGAUAUCUUGAGUACAGUUGAGGUAGGCGGAAUUCGUGGUGUAGCGGUGAAAUGCUUAGAUAUCACGAAGAACUCCGAUUG
rnacentral:rRNA from 1 species